AUACGGAGGGUGCUAGCGUUGUUGGGAAUUACUGGGCGUAAAGCGCGCGUAGGCGGCUUGCCAAGUUGGGGGUGAAAUCCCAGGGCUCAACCCUGGAACUGCCCUCAAAACUGGUUCGCUAGAGUCCGGGAGAGGUGAGUGGAAUUCCCAGUGUAGAGGUGAAAUUCGUAGAUAUUGGGAAGAACACCAGUGGCGAAGGCGGCUCACUGGACCGGUACUGACGCUGAGGCGCGAAAGCGUGGGGAGCAAACAGGAUUAGAAACCCCAGUAGUCC
rnacentral:rRNA from 1 species